rnacentral:rRNA from 1 species
UACGGGGGGAACGCGAAGAACCUUACCAGGUCUUGACAUCCUUUGACCACUCUAGAGAUAGAGCUUCCCCUUCGGGGGCAAAGUGACAGGUGGUGCAUGGUUGUCGUCAGCUCGUGUCGUGAGAUGUUGGGUUAAGUCCCGCAACGAGCGCAACCCUUAUUGUUAGUUGCCAUCAUUCAGUUGGGCACUCUAGCAAGACUGCCGGUGACAAACCGGAGGAAGGUGGGGAUGACGUCAAAUCAUCAUGCCCCUUAUGACCUGGGCUACACACGUGCUACAAUGGGAAGUACAACGAGUCGCGAAGUCGCGAGGCUAAGCUAAUCUCUUAAAGCUUCUCUCAGUUCGGAUUGUAGGCUGCAACUCGCCUACAUGAAGCUCGGAAUCGCUAGUAAUCGCUGAUCAGCACGCCAAACCU